GUACGGCCCAUUUUCUGUCCGGGCCCAAAUCAAACCCAAACAAACCCAAAAAUUACAAAGGGCCCAAGACCCAAGUUACAAGCCCAAAGCCCGACGGCCCAAUAGGCCCCAAAGGAUGAAGCAGCACCAGGGAACCCUAGGGUUCCCUCUCCUUUGCGCCGCUCCUCCUCGAGCGCAACGCCCAUGCCUCGUCCCGAGGCCUGCCCAGCCUCCAUUGGCACCAAAAUAGCAAUCCUCUCCGUUGACCCCCGACACCUGCAAAAAAGACCAAAAGA
rnacentral:lncRNA from 1 species